rnacentral:lncRNA from 1 species
GAGGGUUGCUUUAAAAGAAUGCUUUAUUUUGGUAAAAAAUCAAAGAAAUGAAAGAUUGGCAUAUAUCAUAAGUUGUUGAUGGUAUUACAUCCAAUUUCCGCUUACUACCUGAAGGUGAUCACAAUAUUUUCUUUCCAUGCUUUUACAAUUAGGAUGCAUGUAAAAUGAAGAUCAAAAGGAGAGUUAGAAUGAAGGCCUCUGGUGGCAGAAAUUGGAUCCGAUACAC